CUUCGGUUCUGAAUUUCAGUGCGUUGUGAGGCUUCUCAGCAUACACUUGGGACAGUGCAGAAUUGUCUAUUUCGGUUUGAUCGAGAUUUCCCAAUGGGAGGCAGAUGCUCCUGUGAAGUUCUUCCAGUUGACUUCCAGAUAAAGGCCUCAAAAGGUGAGGAGGCAAAGUCAUCUAAGGUGGCGUCAAGGAAGAAAAGUACUUCUCUGGCGAGAGGACUAAAUUUUAAGAAAAAAUGGCUGCGACACAGUGCUGUAGUUUCAGUAGAACAUCCAAAUGAAGAAGUCUCCAGCACUCUUUUGGAGAACAAAUGAAGACCUCACAAGAAGAGGAGGCAACGUCAUCACUCACUAAGGUCCAGUUGGGAAAAUGAAGAUCCUAUAUGUAUUCUAUAAUGACUCUUAGAAUAUAUUUUAUAUAAGAAUUGUGUAAGUGCUCUUUGGCUUCUGUACAGUGCACUACUAAUUUUAUGAACAACCUGAUGGCAAGGCGAUUUCAUUGUAAAUACCUACCGACCACCCAGGUAACUAAUGCAUGUGUCUAUAACCUCUGCAUUCAGCUGAGUUGGCUUAGAAUUUUGCACAUCAGGAAAUGUCCACAUGUAUCUUUCCCUGGUAGAUAUGCCAAUGACCUAACACAAUUUCAAAUGUUAGUUUUUUCAAUGAAAAUAAUCCAAGUUCACUCUUUAUCUGCAUUCAUUAGUUCAAAUAUCACCACAGUCCUAUAUGGUAGAUUUAUUUCUCAGCAUUUCCUACCCAAGAAGAACCAAUCAGAACACAGUUGGAAGUCACCAACUGGCCAUCUAUAGGGGAAGCACAAAAUAUAUUCUCACACAUGUGGGAUAAAAGUGAUACUCUUAGGUAUAGACCCAACUGUCAAUCCAUUAAGCCAUGAGUAGCCCCACUAUAGAGGAGCUGAAGCUUCCCCGCAUACACCCACUAGGCCAACCUACAGGGGACAGAAACAUGGUCAUGACUGCAGCAGGUGUCAACAGUAGUAUAUGACUCCAGCUGCAGUCCCUCACAACUGAAAGACACAGAAGGCCUCAGGUAUACUGGGAGUGUUUUGAAAAGAAAAAAAAAAG
rnacentral:sRNA from 1 species